rnacentral:lncRNA from 1 species
UGGAAAUGAUCUCCGUACAAUCAAGGUUUCCCUCCAUGGACAAUACAGCCAGAACGUAUCUUCUAGCCAACUCUGGCCAGGUUAGGUCAUUAAUUGGGAGCGCGUCGAUUUUUGCCUUCUUUGCAAUAUUCGAGUUCUCUGAAUCUUUCUUCUUACCUCGUUUUGACUUGAAUUCUCCAGUAUCAAAAUUAGGAUCCACAUGUGGUGCAACCUUGAUGAGCAAUUCACUUAUUAACGUGCUCAGCAGUGAGGUAUGAGCGUUGGUCAAUAUAACACCAGUACAAUUACCAUGAGUUCCCAUACAUGCUAAAAACUUCUCAGCUACUACUGGAAAGUAGUUGCUGCAGGAUGACUUGGCAUGAUUAUUUAUCAUGUGGUUUCUGUAGGAAUUGGCAUCUACAACAUCUUGUGUUCCAUUUGCUAGCUUCUGUGGAGGGGGAGGAUUGUCUAACCAUGGAUUAAUAAGUUCGCACUCAAGUUCCUGGAGGGAGAAGGGUUUUUCAAGUCCUAAAACAUCUGAGAAACGUCUAGAAAAUUCCCAAACCUAAACAUCAGUAAAAACUAUAAUGAGCAUGUAUAAUGAGUGGGUUAGUAAGUAGACAUUAAGGAAGAAUAUAUGUCAACAAACCUGGAGAACAUCACCAAUUAACUUUACAGGAAGCUUAGAGCAAAAAGGNCAUGUACCUCCUGAACAUCCUCAAAGAAAGCUUCAUGUGAUCCAUUAUAGGAUCCGGCAGCCAAUCUCAGGUCAAUAGUCCUGAAAUCUAAAGGACGAGAAACCAUUGCAGGAUAUCCUAGACAUCCCUUAUCAUCAUUGUCAUUCGAAAUUAAAAAUGUUCUUCCCAACAGAUUGCAGAAAACCUUUUUUUCAUCUGCUGCAGUAACACGUCGCAACACAAGACGACACUGUUUCAUCAACAAAUCAGAGAGAGCAAUGGCAGGGGUCUUCCCUAUUUCUUUUUUCUCAGGUUUUUGUUGUGGCUUUUCACAUCUGGAAUCAUCAAGCACCGAGACUACUGCUCUCUGCAUCAUAUGGUUGGAACCAGAAGUAACAGACCUUAAUAAUUGAUACAGGCAAACAUAGGCAAACACCAGAGAAAAUUGAUCAAAUCCAAUAUGUGUCUAAACACAAGUGAGAACCUACUGCAGUCAAUCAUAGAAACAUUACCAAAAUUUAAAUACGAAGUUUAGAACCAAAAAAAAAACAUAGAAGGAAAACCUUUGUAGGCCCUGAUGCAUUUCCCUUGUAGACUUCCUUGCUAAUUGAAUACAACAGUAUCUUCUUUGCCCAUUCAGGGGGAUUUUUCUCCAAGGCUUCAUGUACCAACCUUCUAAUUCUAGCUCCUACAUUAGUAGGUAGCUUUCUUACGGGCUCUAGCACUCGUGCCCAAUCAGGGACUUCACUGUCAUUGUCUGCGACGAUUUUCAAAGCAUCUGAUGCAUCAGAUUCAUUCUGGUCUAUGCUAAGAACAUCAUCUUUACUUUUCAAUGAGCCAUAAACUUUCUUGGAAGCCUCUGCAAGAAGCUGAUAAUCGCAUAUAUUAGAGUACCCUUGUUCAAAAAACAUAUUUCAUAGUAGCCCCCGGAAUGUGCAAAAAAAUGUAAAAAAAUUGGGCACAGCUGAUGAUAUAUUAAGCAACACAGUACAUAUAGCAUGCUAAUUACUUGUACUGCCACUUAUGAAAAUAUUGCCAAAAAUGAUUUCUCAACCAUUAAUUGUCGCCUAGUCCAAUAUAAAACUUAAUAUAAGUAAUGCAGAAUAUUCUAUGCACUAGCUUUAACAAUUCAAUUAAUGUUUAUGAUUAUAAUUUUCAAUAAAAGGCAAAUAAAUAUCAACAAGAUAAGCAGGAAAUAAUAUCAUAUGUUUCAGCAAGAAAAUGAGACUUUGAUCUUACAAGUGCAUCUGCCUCCAUUGCAGCAACUCCAGUAAGAGAUCCACAAAGGGGGCCACCAUCACCUUGUAAGCAGUGGAAAACCCUCCCACUCUCUCUGGAAAUGAUCUCCGUACAAUCAAGGUUUCCCUCCAUGGACAAUACAGCCAGAACGUAUCUUCUAGCCAACUCUGGCCAGGUUAGGUCAUUAAUUGGGAGCGCGUCGAUUUUUGCCUUCUUUGCAAUAUUCGAGUUCUCUGAAUCUUUCUUCUUACCUCGUUUUGACUUGAAUUCUCCAGUAUCAAAAUUAGGAUCCACAUGUGGUGCAACCUUGAUGAGCAAUUCACUUAUUAACGUGCUCAGCAGUGAGGUAUGAGCGUUGGUCAAUAUAACACCAGUACAAUUACCAUGAGUUCCCAUACAUGCUAAAAACUUCUCAGCUACUACUGGAAAGUAGUUGCUGCAGGAUGACUUGGCAUGAUUAU